AACGAACGCUGGCGGCAGGCUUAACACAUGCAAGUCGAACGCAUCCUUCGGGGUGAGUGGCAGACGGGUGAGUAACGCGUGGGAACGUGCCCUUCAGUUCGGGAUAACCCAGGGAAACUUGGGCUAAUACCGGAUACGCGCGAGAGCAGAAAGACUUAUCGCUGAAGGAUCGGCCCGCGUCUGAUUAGCUAGUUGGUGGGGUAAUGGCCCACCAAGGCGACGAUCAGUAGCUGGUCUGAGAGGAUGAUCAGCCACAUUGGGACUGAGACACGGCCCAAACUCCUACGGGGGGCAGCAGUGGGGAAUAUUGGACAAUGGGCGCAAGCCUGAUCCAGCCAUGCCGCGUGAGUGAUGAAGGCCUUAGGGUUGUAAAGCUCUUUCGUCCGGGACGAUAAUGACGGUACCGGAAGAAGAAGCCCCGGCUAACUUCGUGCCAGCCGCCGCGGUAA
rnacentral:rRNA from 1 species